rnacentral:rRNA from 1 species
UUAAUUGAAGAGUUUGAUCAUGGCUCAGAUUGAACGCUGGCGGCAGGCCUAACACAUGCAAGUCGAGCGGUAGCACAAGAGAGCUUGCUCUCUGGGUGACGAGCGGCGGACGGGUGAGUAAUGUCUGGGAAACUGCCUGAUGGAGGGGGAUAACUACUGGAAACGGUAGCUAAUACCGCAUAACGUCUUCGGACCAAAGUGGGGGACCUUCGGGCCUCACGCCAUCAGAUGUGCCCAGAUGGGAUUAGCUAGUAGGUGGGGUAAUGGCUCACCUAGGCGACGAUCUCUAGCUGGUCUGAGAGGAUGACCAGCCACACUGGAACUGAGACACGGUCCAGACUCCUACGGGAGGCAGCAGUGGGGAAUAUUGCACAAUGGGCGCAAGCCUGAUGCAGCCAUGCCGCGUGUAUGAAGAAGGCCUUCGGGUUGUAAAGUACUUUCAGCGAGGAGGAAGGCAUUAAGGUUAAUAACCUUGGUGAUUGACGUUACUCGCAGAAGAAGCACCGGCUAACUCCGUGCCAGCAGCCGCGGUAAUACGGAGGGUGCAAGCGUUAAUCGGAAUUACUGGGCGUAAAGCGCACGCAGGCGGUUGAUUAAGUCAGAUGUGAAAUCCCCGAGCUUAACUUGGGAACUGCAUUUGAAACUGGUCAGCUAGAGUCUUGUAGAGGGGGGUAGAAUUCCAGGUGUAGCGGUGAAAUGCGUAGAGAUCUGGAGGAAUACCGGUGGCGAAGGCGGCCCCCUGGACAAAGACUGACGCUCAGGUGCGAAAGCGUGGGGAGCAAACAGGAUUAGAUACCCUGGUAGUCCACGCUGUAAACGAUGUCGACUUGGAGGUUGUGCCCUUGAGGCGUGGCUUCCGGAGCUAACGCGUUAAGUCGACCGCCUGGGGAGUACGGCCGCAAGGUUAAAACUCAAAUGAAUUGACGGGGGCCCGCACAAGCGGUGGAGCAUGUGGUUUAAUUCGAUGCAACGCGAAGAACCUUACCUACUCUUGACAUCCAGAGAAUUUGCUAGAGAUAGCUUAGUGCCUUCGGGAACUCUGAGACAGGUGCUGCAUGGCUGUCGUCAGCUCGUGUUGUGAAAUGUUGGGUUAAGUCCCGCAACGAGCGCAACCCUUAUCCUUUGUUGCCAGCGAGUAAUGUCGGGAACUCAAAGGAGACUGCCGGUGAUAAACCGGAGGAAGGUGGGGAUGACGUCAAGUCAUCAUGGCCCUUACGAGUAGGGCUACACACGUGCUACAAUGGCAUAUACAAAGAGAAGCGAACUCGCGAGAGCAAGCGGACCUCAUAAAGUAUGUCGUAGUCCGGAUUGGAGUCUGCAACUCGACUCCAUGAAGUCGGAAUCGCUAGUAAUCGUAGAUCAGAAUGCUACGGUGAAUACGUUCCCGGGCCUUGUACACACCGCCCGUCACACCAUGGGAGUGGGUUGCAAAAGAAGUAGGUAGCUUAACCUUCGGGAGGGCGCUUACCACUUUGUGAUUCAUGACUGGGGUGAAGUCGUAACAAGGUAACCGUAGGGGAACCUGCGGUUGGAUCACCUCCUUACCUAAAGA